AACGAACGCUGGCGGCAGGCCUAACACAUGCAAGUCGAACGCUGUAGCAAUACAGAGUGGCAGACGGGUGAGUAACGCGUGGGAACGUGCCUUUCGGUUCGGAAUAACUCAGGGAAACUUGAGCUAAUACCGGAUACGCCCUUCGGGGGAAAGAUUUAUUGCCGAAAGAUCGGCCCGCGUCCGAUUAGCUAGUUGGUGUGGUAAUGGCGCACCAAGGCGACGAUCGGUAGCUGGUCUGAGAGGAUGAUCAGCCACACUGGGACUGAGACACGGCCCAGACUCCUACGGGAGGCAGCAGUGGGGAAUAUUGGACAAUGGGCGCAAGCCUGAUCCAGCCAUGCCGCGUGGGUGAUGAAGGCCCUAGGGUUGUAAAGCUCUUUCGCCAGGGACGAUAAUGACGGUACCUGGAUAAGAAGCCCCGGCUAACUUCGUGCCAGCCGCCGCAGUAAGAC
rnacentral:rRNA from 1 species